AAACUAGUGACCUGAAUAAAACUGAUCAUCUUGCUUCAACUUUUUGCUGCGUGAUCUUCAGGGAUGCACCUCGAUCAUCCAUAGCAUCGUGACCAACUGCCUAAUACUGUUUUGGUCCCCCUUUUAGCUACCAAAACUGCCCUGACCCAUCAAGGCAUGGACUCCACUAAACCCCUGCAGGUGUCCUGUGGUAUCUGAAGAUGUUAGCAACAGAUCCUUAAAUUGUGGAAGUUGCAAAGUGGGACCUCUUUGGAUUGGACUUGUUCGUCCAGCACGUUCGACUCGUCUGUUGGAUCAGACAACGGUCUUGGUCUUCCAUCACCCUGUCUCUGGUGAUGGGCAGCCCCUGCUCUUUCCUUGGACCACUUUUGAUUCUUACUGAACACCGAGAAAAUCUCACAAGAGCUACAGUUUUGGAGUUGCUUCGACCCAGUCGUCUUUCAUGACAUUUUGGCCCUUUCCAAAACCAUUAAAAUCCUUAUGCUCGCCAAUUCUUCCUGCUCCCUGAUAUAUCCCACUCACUAACAGGUGCCACGAUGAAGACGUAAUCAGUGUUAUAAACUUUACCUGCCAGCGCCCAUGUUAUGCCUGAUUAGUGUACAUGUUACACCCUGACAGUAUCAAUACAAGCCCAAAUAAGGAUCCCAAAAACCUGCUGUACACUUCUGGUGCCAUAAAACAGAAAACACCACAGCUCCUUUAAAGAUCAGAGUUUACUUAGUGGCAUAAGGAGGAACUUGAUAUUAUUAGGCAUCUGUUAGCAUCAGCUAAUGAAAUCACUUGUCUUUACAGGUGCUGCUGCAGGAUCACUUAACUGCUGUGAACCUUUCAAGCACAGCUAUUAAUGCAUUUUAUGCUGACAAACACCUUUGGCACUCCUUACACCUUGUCACACACCCAUCAGCCAUCGUGUGAUUCCCAUCUGCCAAACAUAAUCACCUAAAAUAGUGAGUAACCAAAAAUACCAGUGUGAAACUAAAGGGUGAGGCAAAAGCACGUCUGCUUUGUCCUCAAGUCAAAGACGUUUCAAAAGAAAAUCUGCCGAUGGAGCAAAGUGAUUCCUUUCAUCCGCCUUCACAGUAACAGGGUGGGUUUGAAGUUAAAGCUGUGCGUAUAGUAAACAAGCCAGGAGUUACUGCAGGCUACAAAUCAUCAGCAGGCUUCAGUCAGACGCUCUGACCUCCUCUGGAUCAAAUCUCACCUUCAGCACAGCAGGACGAGAUGUUUGUCUUCAUUCUCCCUCCUGUCCUCCACCAUUAAACCAUUCCUUCCACGCUAAAAAAAAAGCAAGCUGAAAUAUGGGCCAGUCUUCUAGAAACGCCUCAGUCCUGUGAAAUGACCCCAUAUAACUUCAGAGAG